rnacentral:rRNA from 1 species
GAUGAACGCUGGCGGCGUGCCUAAUACAUGCAGGUCGAGCGAACAGAUGAGGAGCUUGCUCCUCUGACGUUAGCGGCGGACGGGUGAGUAACGCGUGGAUAACCUACCUAUAAGACUGGGAUAACUUCGGGAAACCGGAGCUAAUACCGGAUAAUAUAUUGAACCGCAUGGUUCAAUAGUGAAAGACGGUUUUGCUGUCACUUAUAGAUGGAUCCGCGCCGCAUUAGCUAGUUGGUAAGGUAACGGCUUACCAAGGCAACGAUGCGUAGCCGACCUGAGAGGGUGAUCGGCCACACUGGAACUGAGACACGGUCCAGACUCCUACGGGAGGCAGCAGUAGGGAAUCUUCCGCAAUGGGCGAAAGCCUGACGGAGCAACGCCGCGUGAGUGAUGAAGGUCUUCGGAUCGUAAAACUCUGUUAUUAGGGAAGAACAAAUGUGUAAGUAACUAUGCACGUCUUGACGGUACCUAAUCAGAAAGCCACGGCUAACUACGUG